AUGCUGAUAGAAGGGACAGAACCACACCCAGCCAGAGAUCACUGUCACAGUGCUAAGUCCAUCAGCCAUGUGAGGAACAGAAUGGAGAAAACCCACUUCGAUGACAGGAGCCUUCCAGACGGGUCUCUUCCCCACCAGUCUUACCUUCUGCUGACUGUAGACACAGCUUCUGCGAAACACCCAGCACAGGUGAAAGGGGGCAACACCACCCACUUUGCAGGCUACAGAUUAAACAGGUAAACAUUCCUGGCCCAUGGGAGUCUGCCCAAGUGCAGCUUCU
rnacentral:lncRNA from 1 species